rnacentral:rRNA from 1 species
GACGAACGCUGGCGGCGUGCCUAAUACAUGCAAGUAGAACGCACAGUUUAUACCGUAGCUUGCUACACCAUAAACUGUGAGUUGCGAACGGGUGAGUAACGCGUAGGUAACCUGCCUGGUAGCGGGGGAUAACUAUUGGAAACGAUAGCUAAUACCGCAUAAUAUUAAUUAUUGCAUGAUAAUUGAUUGAAAGAUGCAAUUGCAUCACUACCAGAUGGACCUGCGUUGUAUUAGCUAGUAGGUGAGGUAACGGCUCACCUAGGCGACGAUACAUAGCCGACCUGAGAGGGUGAUCGGCCACACUGGGACUGAGACACGGCCCAGACUCCUACGGGAGGCAGCAGUAGGGAAUCUUCGGCAAUGGACGAAAGUCUGACCGAGCAACGCCGCGUGAGUGAAGAAGGUUUUCGGAUUGUAAAGCUCUGUUGUAAGAGAAGAACGGGUGUGAGAGUGGAAAGUUCACACUGUGACGGUAUCUUACCAGAAAGGGACGGCUAACUACGUG